rfam:Hordeum vulgare subsp. vulgare, WGS project CAJW01000000 data, contig: morex_contig_1574691
GAAGUACUUCCUCCGUCCGGAAUUACUUGUCGCCGAAAUGGAAAGAAAUGGAUGUAUCUAGAACUAAAAUAUGUCUAGAUACAUCUAUUUCUAUGACAAGUAAUUCCAGACGGAGAGAGUAUAAU